AACCUUUUUUUCUCUCCCCCUCCUUUCUGCUGGAAAUGCCGCACAUCAGAUAAGGUGACAGUUCCUUUUUCCGACUUCCUCUCUUUAGCAUCAGGUAAGGAGGAAAACGGACGGCGGGCGGGCAAAAAAAAUGGACUCUGCUCUCUCUUCUUCUUCUUCCUUUCAUGCUCCGCCACGUCUUGGUCCCUCUGGCAUGAAUCUACUACAAACCCAUUACUCCAGCUCUUUCUUCUUCAACCCCGUCCCCAACAGAAAUCCCAUCUCCACAGCCAACAGGCCCUCUUUGCUUUCAACUCAACAGCCAUCAAGAAAGUUGCGUUGCCUACCACCUGCUGGCAAGUAUGUCAGAGAGGAUUAUCUUGUGAAAAAACUGUCUGCUAAAGAAGUCCAAGAUCUGGUGAAGGGAGAGAGAAAUGUACCACUAAUAAUCGAUUUCUACGCAACAUGGUGCGGUCCCUGUAUUUUGAUGGCUCAAGAACUUGAAAUGUCAUUGGACAGGAUGAAAUGGAAGGAGAUUUUUCCUUGAAUAGAUGAGAGAAGAUUUGUCUUUCAACAAAUGAAAAGAGGACUCAGCUAAUUUCUAGAUCUAAGGCACGACUUGCGAGAGAAAAAAAGGACCAUCACGAGGACCUUCCGCUCAAUUACUAUUAAGCAUAUUUUCAGAGAAGCGAAUCAGUGUGCGGACUUUUUGGCUAAAAAGAGAGUUGAAACUGCUAAUGACUUUUGUGUUUUGACUAGUAAACCCGUAGAACUUUCCUAUCUAAUGGAUCUAGAUUGUUGAGGCUUUUUUCUUCCAAGAAUUGUAUCUUUAACUAGUUAGUAAUAUUAUAUCCCUUUCAUACCCCCCCUAAAAAAAAGAACACAUAGCUUGUAUAAAAAUAAGAUUAAAACUCAAAUA